rnacentral:rRNA from 1 species
GACAGAGGGUGCAAACGUUGUUCGGAAUUACUGGGCGUAAAGCGCAUGUAGGCGGCCAAGCAGGUCGGAUGUGAAAUCCUUCGGCUCAACCAAGGAAGUGCAUUCGAAACCGCAUGGCUGGAGUCCCGGAGAGGGUGAGUGGAAUUCUCGGUGUAGAGGUGAAAUUCGUAGAUAUUCGCAAGAACACCAGUGGCGAAGGCGGCCAACUGGUCCGGUACUGACGCUGAGGUGCGAAAGCGUGGGGAGCAAACAGG